rnacentral:rRNA from 1 species
UACGGAGGGUGCAAGCGUUAUCCGGAAUCAUUGGGUUUAAAGGGUCCGCAGGCGGUCUAAUAAGUCAGUGGUGAAAGCCUACAGCUCAACUGUAGAACUACGCCAUUGAUACUGUUAGACUUGAAUUCGGUCGAAGUGGGCGGAAUGGUGACAGUGUAGCGGUGAAAUGCUUAGAUAUGUCACAGAACACCAUAGCCGAAGGCAGCUCACUAGGCCUGGAUUGA